rnacentral:sRNA from 1 species
UGUUAUGGUAGUUAUUUUUUUUACUCUCUCUCUCUGAGCAGAAUAGACAAGUUUCUAUUGAAGUCACAUUUUCCAGUUCUUCUAACCCAGUUUCUUUCCUUCUGUUUUCUCUCUGCUCAUUCCUUGUUUAGUGCCCAAAGCACAAAAAAGGCCUACCCCUUGGAGUCUGCCCGCUCGUCUCCAGGCGAACGAGCCAGCCGGCACCAUCUGUGGGGGGGCAACAGCGGGCACCCCCGCACCACCCCCCGUGCCCACCUGUUCACCCAGGACCCUGCGAUGCCUCCCCUGACCCCACCCAACACUCUGGCUCAGCUGGAGGAGGCCUGUCGCAGGCUAGCUGAGGUGUCGAAGCCCCCAAAGCAGCGGUGCUGUGUGGCCAGUCAGCAGAGGGACAGGAAUCACUCGGCCACUGUUCAGACGGGAGCCACACCCUUCUCCAAUCCAAGCCUGGCUCCAGAAGAUCACAAAGAGCCAAAGAAACUGGCAGGUGUCCACGCGCUCCAGGCCAGUGAGUUGGUUGUCACUUACUUUUUCUGUGGGGAAGAAAUUCCAUACCGGAGGAUGCUGAAGGCUCAGAGCUUGACCCUGGG